rnacentral:rRNA from 1 species
GGAAAUACGGUUGACAGCACUUGGGAGAUGUAUAGUCCUCUUAUGAGGCUAGUUAUGUUUGAGAAUAGAAGUAUAAUAUAUACAUCAGAUCCUUAUACAAACAUAAAACCAACUACGUUGGCUAAAAUUCUAGAUAGAAUACUGAUUGUGACAAUUUUCUAUCUACUUGUCUUGACCAAAUUACGUGCCAGCAGUCGCGGUAAUACGUAAAAGACUAGUGUUAUUCAUCUUUAAUAGGUUUAAAGGGUACCUAGACGGCGUUUAUUAACCUUAAAUACGGAUAUAAUUUAUAAAGCUAGAGUUUGAUAAGAGAAGGCGAGUAUUUACGGAGUAGAGAUGAAAUUCUUUGAUACCUUAAGGACUGGCAAUGGCGAAAGCGACCUUUUAUGUAAAAACUGACGUUGAGGGACGGAGGCUUGGAUAGCGAACAGGAUUAGAUACCCUAGUAGUCUUUGCAGAGAAUGAUGAAUGCCAUAGAUUAGAUAAUUUUAGUUUAUAAAUGAAAGUGUAAGCAUUCCACCUCAAGAGUAAUGUGGCAACGCUGGAACUGAAAUCAUUAGACCGUUUCUGAGAACAGUAGUGAAGUAUGUUGCUUAAUUCGGUGAUCCUCGAAAAACCUUACCACAACUUGAAUAGUGUCAUUGCCACUACAAAGUAGAAAAGAAUAGAGAUUCCGCUCUAUAAGUAGAAAAGGUAAAAGUAUAAAUAGAUGUGCCCUUUAUGCGGAGUAAGUCUGUGUAAAGGGUAUUUCGUGUUUAUAUUUUUAUCAGGGAUGAUGUUACAUACGUUGCACGGUUGUCUUCAGCUAAUGUCGUGAGAUUUUGGUUAGUUCCAUAAAAUUAGCGUAAACCCCGGCUUUAUUUUUAAAUUAUUAUCAUAAAGCAGUUCAUCACUAUAUUGAAUACAUGAUAACAGGAUCAAGACAAAUCAUCCUGUUCAG